rnacentral:rRNA from 1 species
CCUACGGGUGGCAGCAGUGGGGAAUAUUGGACAAUGGGGGCAACCCUGAUCCAGCCAUGCCGCGUGUGUGAAGAAGGCCCUCGGGUUGUAAAGCACUUUCAGUGAGGAAGAACGCCUGGUGGUUAAUACCCAUCAGGAAAGACAUCACUCACAGAAGAAGCACCGGCUAACUCCGUGCCAGCAGCCGCGGUAAUACGGAGGGUGCGAGCGUUAAUCGGAAUUACUGGGCGUAAAGCGCGCGUAGGUGGCUUGAUAAGCCGGUUGUGAAAGCCCCGGGCUCAACCUGGGAACGGCAUCCGGAACUGUCAAGCUAGAGUGCAGGAGAGGAAGGUAGAAUUCCCGGUGUAGCGGUGAAAUGCGUAGAGAUCGGGAGGAAUACCAGUGGCGAAGGCGGCCUUCUGGACUGACACUGACACUGAGGUGCGAAAGCGUGGGUAGCAAACAGGCUUAGAUACCCGGGUAGUC